ACGUAGGGGGCAAGCGUUAUCCGGAAUUAUUGGGCGUAAAGAGUGCGUAGGUGGUUUUUUAAGCGUGAGGUGAAAGGCAAUAGCUUAACUAUUGUAAGCCUUGCGAACUGGAAGACUUGAGUGCAGGAGAGGAAAGUGGAAUUCCUAGUGUAGCGGUGUUAUGCGUAGAUAAUAGGAGGGGCGCCAGUGGCGAAGGCGAAUUAAUGAACUUUAACUGCCACUGAGGCAGGUGAGCGUAGCGAGCAAAAAG
rnacentral:rRNA from 1 species